CCCAAACAAUAUUUUCUGGGGACUUAAAAAAGGAAAUGUGUAAGAUGUCGAAAAUUGACGGCCACCUAUGGAUUGCAGGCCUAGAAAACAUCCCUAGGAAGGGAUAAGAAUCAAUUUUAGCUCAUUUGUUUAGUGUGGCCUGAGUUUCACCUAUUAUCCUUUUCUGUUUUGCAUAGGGAUCUUGGCAAAAUCACCAACAAAUGCAUGAAGGAAGCUGAAGGCAAUUUGAGUAAUGGUUCCAUAGAAAUUGAAGAAACAUGGAUGUCUCCGAAGGAGAGUAGAGAGCUUGGUUAGUUGUAUCCUAAAAUUAGGAUGCAAUUAAGGUACGUCUCCUUUUUGAGUUCAAUUGAAAUGCUUUGUUCUUUCCAUGUCAGAGAAUUUCUUCUCUUUUUUCCUCAGUCUGUCUCUCUCUCCCUCUCUCUCCUGUCUUCCUUUUCUUCCUCUCAUUAGCAGAUGUCUUUUAUAAUUGAUGUUGUUCACGUCCUUUCAUCAAAUGUAUGCCACAUCACUUAGGCAAACCAGCAGACACGGCACCUAAAUACACAUUAGCGAAGAAUGGCAUCCCGGAGACGCGUCGACUGUCUCAUCAGGGCAGUUAUAAUAAGCAUCUUGGUGCCACUGAAUGCAAUGCUGUAUUCAAACAGUAGCUUUCAUCUUCACUCUUUUUAAAUAUAAAAGUAAACCUUGAAGCCCUUUGAAGGACCUAACCAACAACAUACAUAUGAAAAUAGAUCAGUAAGGCUUUGAGAAAUACCGUGAUGUAAAAAUCUGUAAAGCAUCUUUGCAUUUUUUUCCAAGAAAGACCUCCAGGUAAAUGAUGGCUUUUAAUAAGACACAUGACAGUCUCAAUUAUGAGAAUCAUUAUUGUGUGCCCUGUGUGCCAUUUUGUGUUCCCAGCAGGAUACCUUUUUUUUUCCACAUCAAGAAUUUCCAGGGCUGUCUACUGUUGUCUGAGUAAAGUACAUUGAAUGUUUCCCCGAAGCUGCACUAAUUCAAAGGAAAAAAAAAAAAAGCAAAACACACAGCAACGACAACAAAAAUUUUCUCAAGUGGUCAGACAGACUGGAACUAGUGGAUUUAUAGAGCACAGACUGGACUCUGCCACGAAUGUGGAUGGGCUUGCAAGCUGGUUCUCGUGUUUGACAGUCGCAGACAUCUGCGGUGAGCUUUGUACCUGGCCAGACAAGGACUCAGAAAAUUUGUUUUCCACGUACUUGAUGCUUCUCAUUUCGCAUUGCUCAGUCAUCUUAGAAUAGCUUUACUCCAAGGGUCUAUGUGCUGUAGUAGCUCACAUGACCUCAUGGAACUUGCGUUUGUUAGGGUAACAAUGCAGCAAUGAAAACGUAGUGAGAAAAUACAAAUUUAAGAUUCAACAUCUAUUUCGGCAAGUAAAAGAUAUUCUACAUUCAAGUCUAUUUACCUUCCUAUGUUUCAAAUGUUGAAAAAUCCAAAAAAUAUUUCACAGAAGAAUGAGGAGGCAGAGGAGGGGAAAAAAGAAAAAGAAGAAGAAGAAGAAGGGUAAGAGGAGGACAGAGGGAGGAGGCAGGAGGUGGAGAAAAAUACUGAGGUUUUAGAACUAGAUAAGAAGUAUUUCACUUAUCACAAAGCAUAAAGCAUUCAGCAGUCUUUGUCCCAGAGAAAAAUAAUGAAAAGAAUCCAUUAAGCAUCUUUGCUCUUCAGACAAAAAAAAAAAAAAAAAAAAUAGAUAUUUAUAUUUUAUGACAUUUUGAGAUCAGAUGCAUUUGCCUGUGGCUCUCUGGUAGAAGUAGGGGGAAGAGCUGGGUGGAGAUGCUGCCUUUCAUGUGGCAACAAUGUGAUAACACUGGUCUGAAAGAACUGUGAAAGUUUAGUUUCUUAAAAACAUUGGUCAGGUAAGAAAAAGUGAAGAGAGAAAAGCAAGAGAGGAGAAAAUGUGUAUUGUUGUAGUGAAACAUUCUAAACUCUACAUGUUAUCUUUGAGUUGAGAUAAAAUAAAAGUUCAUUUAGAAGAUGAAUGUUUAAAAGGAAUAAGAGCUAGAGCUACAAUGAUAGUCCCAAAAGUUGGGAAAGUAACUCUUGACUGACCCAGGAACUUUGCUGAGGCCCUGGGAGGAGAGGAGCUAGUGACUGAAUUGGUACUAGAAUGUGCAUUGGCCUCUGGCCCUGUUUUUAAUUUUUUUUUUUGAGUUUUAGGUAAGUCACGUAUCUUUACUGUCUUCUUUUCCGGUUUUAUGAAUAAAGUGACUCGAUUAGACAGGUUGAUAAAAAUACAAAGAAUUGGAAAUUUAAGUAAAUAAUGUAUUUUUUUAAUUGAGUUUAUUGGUACAAUCUAGGUAUACAGUACAGUUACAUUCAUCAUUGGGAUUCUGUACCUUUACAUAAUAGGUCUUGAUUCUCAUUUUUUCCCCUUGUCCCUGCCCUCCCUUCCCCCCCUCCUCCCCUCCCCAUUUACAAACACUUUAUUUCCAUUUUUCCAGUUUCUCAUAUUUUUUUCCUCUCCCUUAUUACCUUUCCCCCACCCUUCUCACUUGCCCUACACCUUUAGCCCUUUACUUCCUAUUUCACAUUAUUAAUUAUCUCAUUGGGAUCCUGUGUACUAUUAUAGUUUUUCAC
ensembl:lincRNA